GACGAACGCUGGCGGCGUGCUUAACACAUGCAAGUCGAACGGAAAGGCCCUGCUUUUGUGGGGUGCUCGAGUGGCGAACGGGUGAGUAACACGUGAGUAACCUGCCCUUGACUUUGGGAUAACUUCAGGAAACUGGGGCUAAUACCGGAUAGGAGCUCCUGCUGCAUGGUGGGGGUUGGAAAGUUUCGGCGGUUGGGGAUGGACUCGCGGCUUAUCAGCUUGUUGGUGGGGUAGUGGCUUACCAAGGCUUUGACGGGUAGCCGGCCUGAGAGGGUGACCGGCCACAUUGGGACUGAAAUACGGCCCAGACUCCUACGGGAGGCAGCGGUGGGGAAUAUUGCACAAUGGGCGGAGGCCUGAUGCAGCAACGCCGCGUGCGGGAUGACGGCCUUCGGGUUGUAAACCGCUUUCGCCUGUGACGAAGCGUGAGUGACGGUAAUGGGUAAAGAAGCACCGGCUAACUACGUG
rnacentral:rRNA from 1 species